AACGCGAAGAACCUUACCCGGGCUUGAACUACGGAUGGUAAGUCCCUAGAAACAGGGGCUGACCCGCAAGGGAGUCCGCAGAGGUGCUGCAUGGUUGUCGUCAGCUCGUGUCGUGAGAUGUUGGGUUAAGUCCCGCAACGAGCGCAACCCCUACUCGAUGUUGCUAAUCCCGCAAGGGAUGCACUCUUCGAGAACUGCCUUCGAUAAGAAGGAGGAAGGUGGGGACGACGUCAAAUCCUCAUGGCCCUUAUGUCCGGGGCUACACACGUGUUACAAUGGCCGGUACAAUGGGAAGCAAUGCCGCAAGGUGGAGCCAAACCCACAAAGCCGGCCCCAGUUCAGAUCGUGGGCUGCAACUCGCCCACGUGAAGGCGGAAUCGCUAGUAAUCGCUGAUCAGCAGGCAGCGGUGAAUACGUUCCCGGGCCUUGUACACACCGUAGUAC
rnacentral:rRNA from 1 species